rnacentral:rRNA from 1 species
GAUGAACGCUGGCGGCGUGCCUAAUACAUGCAAGUCGAGCGAACGGACGAGAAGCUUGCUUCUCUGAUGUUAGCGGCGGACGGGUGAGUAACACGUGGAUAACCUACCUAUAAGACUGGGAUAACUUCGGGAAACCGGAGCUAAUACCGGAUGAUAUUUUGAACCGCAUGGUUCAAAAGUGAAAGACGGUCUUGCUGUCACUUAUAGAUGGAUCCGCGCUGCAUUAGCUAGUUGGUAAGGUAACGGCUUACCAAGGCAACGAUGCAUAGCCGACCUGAGAGGGUGAUAGGCCACACUGGAACUGAGACACGGUCCAAACUCCUACGGGAGGCAGCAGUAGGGAAUCUUCCGCAAUGGGCGAAAGCCUGACGGAGCAACGACGCGUGAGUGAUGAAGGUCUUCGGAUCGUAAAACUCUGUUAUUAGGGAAGAACAUAUGUGUAAGUAACUGUGCACAUCUUGACGGUACCUAAUCAGAAAGCCACGGCUAACUACGUG